UUUAGGUGUGUGAGGAUCCAGAGAUAGCAAAGAUGAGUGAACAAGGCAAUUUCAAUCUGUGCAACUACAGUUCUGGUGCUUCUAUCCUGAUUCUGCUCAAGUUCAUCAGGAAAGAUUAACUUUGGCAGCUUAUUCAGUGACUAAAUCUUGAUAUUUUUGUGGCUUAAUUCAUAACAUAACUGUAAGCUAUUGCCCUGUGUUUAUAUUUCCCAUCCAUUUCUCACAUUUCCAAAGCAUACUGAUAUGUGAUCCUGGCAAUUUAGCUACCAUAAUUGGCAUUUUUCUAGGGCCGAAAGGAAACAAAUUCCUUAUCCUCCAUACUUCUUUAAUUUCUGAAAAACAACAAGUAACAUGGUUAAUCCUCUUUUUGAUCUUUCCCCCCUCCCUUUGAGUUUUUCUUAUGGUCUUUUCCUUUUAAUCUUUUACUUUCUUUUUAAUCUUCACUCAUUGUCCCCCCACAGUUGAAGAAUUUCAUGUACUUACAUCUCUAAAAAGAAUUGGACCACUUUAUAGAAAUAGCUCUUUAGGAUCUUGUUCAAAGCACCAUUAUGUACUGCUAGCUGUCUGGGGGAGGAUGAAAAAAAAAGAGGAGAGAAAAAGCAACUUUAAAGCAGUGUUUGUUUGUGUAGCUUAACAGAACAUUGGUCUGCCCAACUAGAUGCUGAAACAGUGCACAGAAACACCCCCAGUCACAAUAAAACUAGGUUACACUAGGGGAGCAGAUGGGUUUAACUGGGGUUGGGUUGUAUCAUCCAGCUCCUGAUGCAGGUGUGUUUGGGCAAGAGCAUUUCAGGAAAGGCAAGGCCAGUCAACACAGGUGAAUUCCAUAGACCAUCAGGGAACAGCUCCCCCAAAGCUGGAGGGAACAAGCUGUGCUGUGGCUGGAAGGCACAAAGCUCCCUGAGGCUGAUCAGAAUGUGGCUGAGGACCCACCACUUACACAGAAGUAUCCCUGGAGACCCAGUCUAACCAUUUGAGUUUGGAGGCAGAAGAGUUUAUCUGCUAUGGUCUGCCCUGGACUGCUGGACUCGUGUGCAGCUCUGCAGAUCAUAAUGACUCUUCUUCGGUUCCAGUGUUUCAUCUGGCAUGAAGGUUGCUGAGCAUCACACUCAUUUUCUGAGUGAAGGAAGGGGAAGGGAGGAGUGCUGGCAUGUCAUGCUCAAUGUGGCCAUGAGAUAAUACCUGUGCCCAGCAAGUCCUACAAAAUAAACAUAAAUGGUUAAAUUCAGGUGCAUAAGAACAUUCAUUUUAGUUUCAUCUGCCCCAUUGUAUUAACUAGACUUUUUGCUUAGUCAUAACUAAUUUAAACAGCUGAAUAUUGGGGAGCAAACCACAUAUUUAAGGCAGUUUGCAAAACUGUCAGCUGAAUUCUCUCUCAGCAGGGAAAAAAGCAUCAACCCAAACCUAAAUUUGCUAUAUAAAUUAUUCAUUGUGAAUCAUUCACUUAAUUCUCAUAAUAAAUGGUUUCCUACCCUUGGU